UAAGGAAUAUUGGUCAAUGGACGAAAGUCUGAACCAGCCAUGCCGCGUGGAGGAUGAAGGCCCUCUGGGUUGUAAACUUCUUUUAUAGGGGACGAAAAAGGGUCUUUCUAGAUCAACUGACGGUACCCUAGGAAUAAGCACCGGCUAACUCCGUGCCAGCAGCCGCGGUAAUACGGAGGGUGCAAGCGUUAUCCGGAUUCACUGGGUUUAAAGGGUGCGUAGGUGGGUUAGUAAGUCAGUGGUGAAAUCUUCGAGCUUAACUCGGAAACUGCCAUUGAUAGUAUUAGUCGUGAAUAGUGUGGAGGUUAGCGGAAUAUGUCAUGUAGAGGUGAAAUGCUUAGAUAAGACAGAGAACACCAAUUGCGAAGGCAGCUGGCUACACAUAUAUGGACACUGAGGAACGAAAGCGUGGGGAUUAAAC
rnacentral:rRNA from 1 species